rnacentral:pre_miRNA from 15 species
AGGAGACGACGAGCCUGCAGUUCCUUUUGCUUUUGAUUGUUGCUCAGAAAGCCGGGUGUUAGAAAGGCUUUCGGGCAAUAAUCAUUUCCAAAGAGGACUCGUCACAACUCGCUUCGUUU